rnacentral:rRNA from 1 species
AUGCUGGCGGCGACGGUGGCCGGGUUCCUCGCCGUGCAGGUGGCGAUGCUGUGCGGCAUGGAGUGGAGCGGGGCGCUGCGGGGGAUGAGCGCGUGGGAGAAGGUGUCGAACGCGGUGUUCCUGGCGGUGAACUCCCGCCACGCCGGCGAGUCGACCCUCGACAUCUCCACCCUCGCGCCGGCCAUCCUCGUGCUCUUCGUGCUCAUGAUGUAUCUGCCUUCAUACACCACGUGGUUUCCAUUUGCGGGGAGCUCCGGCACAACGGAUCACGCCGAGGAGACACAGGGUAUCAGGCUGAUCAAGAGCACGGCCUUGUCGCAGCUCUCCUACCUCACCAUCUUCGUCAUCGCCAUCUGCGUCACCGAGAGGGAGAAGCUCAAGGAAGACCCCCUCAACUUCAACCUGCUCAGCAUCGUCGUCGAAGUUGUCAGCGCUUAUGGAAAUGUGGGAUCUCCAUGGGCUACAGUUGCAGCAGGCAGAUCAGCCCGGACCAGCUGUGCACCGACAGGUGGACCGGCUUCGUCGGGAGGUGGAGCGAUUCUGGCAAGCUCGUCCUCAUUCUCGUGA